UACGUAGGGACCGAGCGUUGUCCGGAUUCAUUGGGCGUAAAGAGCUCGUAGGCGGCCACUCAAGUCGAAUGUGAAACCUCGAGGCUUAACCUCGAGCCUGCAUUCGAUACUGGGCGGCUAGAGUCUGGUAGGGGGAUCUGGAAUUCCUGGUGUAGCGGUGGAAUGCGCAGAUAUCAGGUGGAACACCGAUGGCGAAGGCAGUGAUCUGGGCCAGUACUGACGCUGAGGAGCGAAAGCGUGGGGAGCAAACAGG
rnacentral:rRNA from 1 species